AAAAAUGGUUCUACAUGGAACCAAAAAGGGUUAUCCUAUGGGGACAGCCGAAGAACCCUUUUGGAACCCUUUUUUCUCAGUGUAGUGUAAGUAGAUCCAAUUGAAGUAGCACUAAUAGCAAUAAUAUAAGUUUGUAAAGCUGACUUGUAAAGCUGAGUCAUGUAAAGUUUCUCCCAUUUCUGUUUUGCUCACUUAAACUCAAACGUGCGCAGUUGCAGAGAAGAGGAAGAGAUUUGGAAUCACACCCAUUUCUAACAAUGCUUGUUGCAGGAAUGAUAUGACAGACAGAACUUUUGAACAAGAUAAUAUUUUGUCUCUAUUGCCUCUUUACACAUACUUUUUACUAUUUUUAGAGAUGAGUUAAUGGUAAUUAUCCAACUACAGUCUACUUUUGAUAUCCUCUUCUUAAAAUGUUUGAAAUUGAUGACCAAUGAAUUAAUGUCCCACUUCAAUAUGAGGGGACAGAAGAGCAAACAUGCCUUUGCUACCACUUUUAGUAGAUUCUGACUGGUAAAGAUGUUUUACUGUGCGUUACUCUUCUGUCGUGUCCUGCAUGCCCACAUUAUGCCAAUCAUUAAUUAAUUUUCUUCUCUUUUUACCGUAAGUAUCAUGAAAAGCCAGAAAACUCAGGAGGUUGGUGUGUUGCGGGCCCUCUGGAAAGUCUUCAAAUAUUCCCAUGACCGCUGUGGUGGAGAAGGAUGCAAAAUCUGACCCAUCACACGACUCUUCAAGAGGGCCACUACGCUCCAGUUUGGCUUCUGUGCUCAGAGCUUCUUGAUGAGGAUCUACCCAACCACACCACUCUUAUUAAUCAUUAAUCAAAUAAAACAAUGGGCCUUUA